UAAAGUGGGUGAAGCUGGGGAUGGAGUCCUUGGAGCUGGGUUUUAACUCCUCCACUCUGGUCUGCUUUCUUAAGGAGUCUGACCAAGUUCCUUGCUGAUUCAACGCUUUACUCCUAGAGACCAUCUGCUUUCCUAGCUAGAUUUUAGAGGAAGUAAAGAUGCAGUCGAAUUGGCAAACUCCUCCUUGAGGCCUUUAAGGGAGGGAGCUGGGGUCUUUCACAGUUCAGGGAUUUCCUAGGCACUGUUACCUAUCAUGUUGGGCUAAGUGUUCUGACUUUUAGGGGGUACUGGGGCCGUGACGGUGGGCUACACAUGGGACCAGGACUCCAUGUCCAGCCAGACAUCCUGGGGUGGUAGAUCUGGUUGGAAGAUUAGCGCAGACUUUCUACCCUGGGCCAAGAAUGUUGUUCUCUUCAUCUGAGAACACCUCACCCCUCCUCCCUGUGAGCCCCCAACCCAGAAACGGAAGGCUACCCAUCCGUUUGCAGGAUCUUCCACCCUUCUGAUCUCGGGGACUAAUUCACAGGCAGAAUGGAUGCCAGGUGUGCAACAACAACCCCUAUUUUUCUAUCUCCUCUACCUGCCUCCAAUCCCACAAUACACUUGGUAUCCCUGCACUGAACAGAGUGCCCUGGUGGUGGGGGACCCUGUUCCCAGCCUAGAUGGAGCCCCAUCCACAUCAUCAUGACCCAAGCCUCUGUUCUAUGCGACACAGCAGGAAGGAAAUCUGGAAACCCCCACAAGCCACACCACUGACUGUUGAACAAGAGGAUAAAAGCAUCAGGAAGUACAAGUGGAGCCUUUAUUCAGCAGGACUGAAAGGCGCGACCUGCCACUGUGACAAUUGAGGGCUGGGGUGAGGGCAUGGUGAUGAAGCCACCGCCAUCCCCAAAGCUUCAUGCCACCUCUGAGCAUUCAGCGCCAUUCCUGCGAGCAAUGGCAGGAAGAAACAGCUCGAGCUCGCCGUCACCGCCAGAUUGCUAAUGAAAACCAGAACGUCUGCAAACAAAACCUGCAGCUCCCCCGCAGUGAAGGCAGAGGAGGACACAUUCGCAGGAGCUCUGUUGGCUGGGAAUGGGCUUUCCCAGCUCGGGGUCCCUGGCUGGAUGGUUGUGGAAGGAAUCGACCAAAAUGAGAUCUAUAAAUCCUGACAAUGUCAUUGCAGCUCUGUAUUUUUCAUCUUCUGAACCAAUAAAUCAUUGAUUGUCAGUUGGGACCUUUUACAUUCUGAAUGCAGACAAGAGACUUCAGAGACUACCUGCAGAUCUUUAUGGAUGGGAAACAAAUCUACACAACCAGAGUAAAAGAUGGGAAAUCCAUGGCACAAAUGCAAAACUACCAGGUUCUGGUAGACAGAGCCAGACAGAGACGGGUGGGUUGGUUUGUUCCGUUGAGGGAAGGCCAACAGAAACCACUUUACCGAUGGUGAUUUGAAGACACAGCAAACAAUCUCAAGGUUAUUAUUAUUUUUUUUUUAAUCAAACACAAACAUUGUCCAUCAAUUAGCCAAUUCAUGCAGACUUUCCGGUAAAACAUAUUCUACUGAGAAUAAGCAGAGUUACAAGGCUUUGGCAUUUUAAGAGACAGUCAAUAAAUGGCAAGAUGUUAGACUUCAUCUUAAUCCCCUUAGCAAGGAGCCAGGCACUUCAGAACCAGCACCCUGCAGCAUGAACAUAUGGGAGGGUGUGUUUCAAUCAACAAACACUGCCUUGACAUUCAACUGCGGUAGGCAAAUGGCAGACACCAUCAGCGUCCAGGGGACGCCUAAGCAGAGUGAUAAAGAGACAGGCCUGGGGCAAAGCUGGACACUGAAAUGCUAGGGGACCUUGAGCCUAAGAGGGAGCAAGGGAAGCCCUGACUCCAUCGAACAGGUCCCUUGGCUGCCACUGCUGCGUGUGGCCUGGCUGUGGGGCCGUGAGCAGUGGCUCUGCGUGUGCAGCUGGUCCCCCCCCCAUGGCCUGGGGCUGACUAGAUGGGGGCAGAGUCCUCCCAGGAGGAGGGCACUUCCCAUGGCUGUCACCAGCAGCCAGCAGGACACGAGUGGAAAAGACAGACGCCGAGGCCUUUGUCCCGGGCUCAACACCCAGCUCCUCACAACCCUGAGUGCAGGCAAGAGGAGGCGCCAACAGCACAGUGAUGACAGUAACGACCCCGCUGCCCUUCACGCCACUGUGCCCCGGGCACCAGGCACUGGCUGAGACAGUCACGCAGGAGAUUCGGUUCUCACAUGACUCUGCAAUGCAGGUCAUUUCCCCUUAAUACGACGAAGAAAGAGAAGCUUAGUGAGAUUAAAGGAACGUGCCAGAGUCUGAAAGUACUGUCCUAAGGGGUACAGGUAGCCCUGUCCCCAGAGAGCCAACCCUGCCCCAGGGAGCAGGCACCUCAUGACACAAAUGGGCUUCUCCUGUGCCCUACGGUGACUAAAUAAACCUGAACUUAGUCAGAUUUGAAAAAGUAAUAAAUGUCAAAAGGCAAAACCAACCUGCUUCACUGAUGGGGAGCUUGUCUUCAAAACCACCAUUCAAAACAGAACUGCCCCUUGGGAGGCUGGGGCAGGAGGAUCACCAAGAGUUGGAGGCCAGCCUGGGCUACACAGUGAGUUCAAGGCCAGCCUGAAUUACCUAGCAAAACUGUCUCAAAAAUAAGGUAAAGAAUACAAUAGAGCUGCGAAGUGUCUACUCCUGGAACAUCCAUAGACAACUGGAUCCAUAUAAGAAAACUAACUUCCAUUUCUAGCCGGGUUGGAAAUUUUUGUAUCUAGUUCCCAUGAUAACAUAAAUUAAUUUCUGGAUCCUAGUAUAACUCAGAGUAGACCUGAUCCUGAAACAAUACAGCACGAUACAGUAAGUGGCUGACAACCUCCUACAGAAAAUGCUCUUGCUGCUCAAAAAAGAAUAAUAUUUUACAUAUGGAAGAAUCUGCUUUAAACCACGGACUUACAGAUGAAUAUGCUUUUAAAUCGGGGAAUUCUAAUUUAUUGUAGCUUCUUUUUUGUGUGUUCAUUGUAAGCAGAAGAAAGGCCAUCAUGCUAAAGGUUUAUGAUAUCGUCACUGAAUGCCAGUCUUCUAGGAUUCUGUUGCCUUUGUCCAAGGUCUUCAUGUCCUGGGGGAUUUGUAUAGGAUGGACAGGGCCAGCUCAGCAUGACCAAUGGGACAUUCCAUGCACAACAUUUAUGGGAAACGCCUGCUUAGCGUGCUCCUGAGACAGCUGCCGCGUGCACCGCUGUGACUGUGGCAUGGUCCCCAGGAAUCACGGGGACCCGCAGUUGCCCGGAGCCGAUGGCAUCCACCAAGUGGCUCCCUUUAAGCCAAGCCCAGACUGUUCUGCUCCUGGAGAGCACGGACUCCAUAUCUAACCUCCUUGCAACAAAAAUAGCCCGGCGAUUGCUACCACUUCCAGGAUGGGCAAGGCACGGCGGGCGAGCAUUGGGCAAGAGGCUAACAAGGUGGGGACUCGGGGCCGUAGCUGCCCCAUCUGGAUGCCUGCGCCCUUCCUCGAAGAGCAGAAUGAAGUGUGAGGGAGGGUGGCCUCGCUUAUGGGCGGGGGAGGAAUUCUUAAUGAAAACGGCAAGAAUCCAAGUGGUCCUCCUAGUGGUCCUGAGUGGCACAUGAAACGAACAGGGAAGAAAUAUCAUCUGCUGGGGAUCCCAAAAGGCCAUUUAGGUCUGACCGUGCGCAACUGGUGUCCAAAACAAAGGGACAGGCCCGAGGCUGCAUCGCUUGCGGAGCCCUGGAAGCUGGGCUGCUGGAGACAGAGCAUCCCUCUCCUCCUGCGCGGGGACCACCGUGUUUCAGGCCGAGCCUCUCUCUGGGAGUCUCAGCAGCUCUGGCCCAGUGCUCAUCACUUCCUCCUCCUCCUCCAUCUCUGGGCGUCUGCAGCAUGACACUCCCGAGUUCCCCACCAGCUUCCCGGCGGCGGCUGCCCCUCCUCGCCUGCUACUUCUUACACUUCUUCCUCUCUUGGUGUUGGGGUGACUCGGUGCUUUGCCCUUGUCUCCGCUCUCCACCCUGUCUCCCGGGAUGAGCUCACGCAGUCUCCUGCCACAGAGAUGCUGGCAAAGCCGACAACUCCAGAGCCGCUGCUGCCCUCCAGGGUCUCCCUUGAGCUCCUGACUCAGAUCCAACCCCGGAACGUGCAGGUACAGCAGGCAUCUCCACCCCAGCACGUCCCCAGCACAUUCCUGAGCUUCUCCGGAACCCACUGGCCACCUCCUCUCCAUCGACGGCCUCUCCACCCUUCAGCUCAGGCCAACACGUGGUAAUUCUUUUUGUUUUUUUUUUUUUUGGUACCGGGGAUCGAACUUGGGACCUUGCGUUUGUGGGGCAAGUGGUGGAACCACUGAGCUAAGUCCCUGGCCCUACACGGGGUAAUUCUUGAUGCCUCUUCCUCGAACGCCCUGUGUCCAGUCUGUCAGGAAAUUCUCCUGCUUACACCUUCCAGAUCUGUGUGAAGUCUAUCCAGGGUGUGACCAUUCUUCAGCAGGUCAUUGGCUGCCUGUCACACUCGCUCUCUUCCUCUGUCAAACUCGGACAGGGCUCCUUGCACAUCCUCGAAAGCAGUUCUCAACAGGGAAGCCACAGUGCUCCCGGUAAAGUGUAAGUCUGUUCAUGUCACUCCUCACGACAGGCAGUUUCUCGCAUUCCUGCAGACUGGAAGCCAGAAGCUGGUGGUAGCCUACAGGGCCCUUCUCAGGUUCCCACGCCCCGUUCCCCUCCACCAGCUCCCUGUUGAUCUCUCCCCAGGCACUCCAGCCUAGGGUGCAUCCUCAUCUGAGGGGUUUUCCAGUGGAUGUUCCCAUGGACGAUCAACCUGCCCCUCAAACGCAAAUGGCAACACCUUUACCUCCUUAGCAUCUCUGUCCAAAUGUCACAUUCCUCUUGAAGCUCACACCACACCUUUUAAAAUCACACCCCUCACGGAGCAUGAACCCUAGCCCACCUGCCUUUUAAUUUCUCCCGCAGCACUUUCCAGCUCUAACACACUCUGUGAUUCACUUGUUUUAUCUAGGCAUUGUUCAUUAUUGUCUGUCUUCCCACACCCCUCCCUUGGAAUGCAAGUUCCACAAAGGUAAGGAUCUUUGUUUUGUUAUCUGCCCUCUGCCGAGGGCCUCGAACUCCGCCUAGCACUUACUACUUGCUUGCUAUCUAUUUCUGGAAGUAAUAAAUGAAUGGCUUGGCUGCCGAUGCUAAAAUGGGAUCCUUGGAAUUCCAGGUCUCAUGGUUUAAUCUGCAAUAUGAAGCUAUCUUUCUCAUUGAUUUGGAUAGUUCUUGAGAUUGUUUUAUAGGCACUCCCCUUAAUUAUAAGAGAUCUGCGAACUAUUAGGAAAUGAGACUCAUUGUUCUCUGACAAUGUUCUUGAGUAACAAGUUCCUGAAUUCAACUGAUGACACAGUUUGCCAAGCUAUACACCCCAGCAAGGACACCAGGAACUUCUGAUCGCAAACUUCAGUCCCUGGCUUUUAGUACUGAGAACCAGACCCAAAAGAAAAACUAAUGCAAGAGUCCUGCUGACACAGCUAAGCAUGUUACUGUGCCAACAUAGUUUUUAAAUCUUUCAAAAUGUACGUUAAUGAAAUAAAGUGAGUUUACAUACACUGUAAAAUAUACAGUAUGUAUACAAUAUAAAGCCUUCCUUGACAAUCACCUAAUCCCUCUAUCCUUCCCCUGGGUCCUAUUUCUAUUCACUCACUCUUUUUAUUCAACUUAAUGACUACCUGCUGAGUUCAGAAUACUGUUCCAACUGCUAAGGACACAGUAAUAAGACAGAUACAGAGGUCCAUACCUGGUAUUUUCAGUCAUCCCCAGCUCCAUACACAAUAAUAGCCGACAUUUAUUUAGCAUGUACCAAGUGUUUUCCACGUAUUAAACCAUUUAUUCAUACUACUACCAAACAGCGGUGCAAUGAGUCUCCUCAUUUUAUAGACAAAGGAUAUCAAAGCACAGAGAGUUGCGAUUGCUGCCCAAGCUCCUGUCUCGGCUAAAUAGCAAAGCCAAGAGGGCCCCCAUCUCCGAGUCCUCUCUGGUCCUGCCGUCCUGCUGUCCCGCCAGCCCUGUGAUCCCAAAUCCACAGGCUCCACCUCCACUGCCACCCUCGGCGCCUGAGCACACCGCUCUUGCACAAGGACCAAAUCAAAUUCAGUGGUUAGGUUCAAUGUUGACCUUUUGGGGAAAUCUGAUUGGUUCUUGUCCAAUUCGGUUUGCAACCAGAAUCGUGGAGAGAAUUGUUUGUGCGCUGAGGUACCACUGUAUAAACCUGAACAUGUGUGAAAUGUUUUAUAUUACUCAUCGCUAGGUUGCUUUUUGUUGACAAAGACCUAAAUGUCCAUUAAUAGGGCCCCCUUAAAUAAAUUAUCAUACAUAAAAUAAUGCAAAAAUGCAUUACUUUCUUUGUGCCUAAUAAUGAACUAUUAUAAGCACUAUUUUAGAUCAGAAAAACUAAAGCUUAGGAAGCUUAAUUCACUCACCAGGUUCUUAGUUUCUAUGUUUACUAUAUAUGGGAUCCUAUAUUCUCCCAUAGCAGAAUACUAUGCAGCCAUCCAAAAUGGACUGAACUCCAAGAUCAGUGAAAAGGGUAGAACAGAUUGGUAAAGUUGAACCUCUCUGAGCCGGGGAUUUUUCUUUUUAAGAAAGCAAAUCCAUUUGUUCGUGUGCCUCCACACAGAGACGUAAGAAACAGUGGGGACUUGUGGAAGAAAGAGAAGCUUCGCUGGAAAGGGAAGGUAGAGGUGGCUCAGGAGAGGGUAGGAGGAGACUUGUAUUUCCCUGCAUACUCUUUCAUGCCUUUGGAGUUUUGUUGCAUAUGCACAAACACACACAUACUGCCUACCCAAAGAAUCGAGCAAUUAAAAACCAAUGGACUGCUAGGCUGAGGUUCUUCCAGAAGGAAAAAGAGUAUGACCCAUCACUGUCAUCCCAUCUGUUGUAUUUUCUUCAUAUAUCUAAUAGUGAACAGCUUCUUAGUGAGUCAGCAUCUAAAAUCAUUUGGAUUUCUGUGUGGCUGGGAGGUGGUGUGUGUUUAUCACACUUGGUGUGUAAGCUCACUGCACUCCGCUGAACUGUGUGCUCCGUGGGGAACGACUGUGUGUGAACAGCUGAGCCUCAGCCGCGGUAUUCUGCAUACGAACCUGUGCACGCAACUCUAAAUGAAUGAAUGAACGAAAGAAAAGUGACUAGGAACUGAGGGCUGAGACCACCAGAAUUUAGACAGUAAGAAUCUCCUGCACCAAAACUUUGGACCAACAAGGAAGUUUCCUAGCAUGCAAAAUUAAGUUCUCAGUCCAAAGAAUACUACUAAUCCCCAGGUUCAAAGUUGAGAUUCUCACUAAGCAAUAGUCCCAAAGGCAAGAUUAUUAAACAAAAUAUAGAUUUUGUGGAGAUAGGAAAGGGAGCUAAGGAUGGAAGGAGAUGGGAGGGAAAGAUGAGGAAAGGAAAGGAAAAAGGAUCAAGCUGUGAUAUGUGUAUGUACCAAUUUCCCACAAUGAAUGUAUUUAUCAUGCAUCACAAACAUAUACUAUAAAAAAAAGAAAUAGCGCAAGCCUUAAAAAGAACGAGACAGAUUUAGAAACUAUAUGGGCAGCUAAAAAAAUUUCAGUCAUUAUUUAAGUAAUUUAGUGUUAUAAAAAUUAUCAGUGAUUUAAUAAACAGAAAAUUCCCUCUUUGAGCCUGGACAUAGGACCCAACAAUUCUACCUCUAUAUAUAACCAAAAGAACUUAAAACAAGAGCACAAAGAGAUAUUUGUAUAAUCAUGUUCAUAAAAGCAUUAUCCACAAUAGCCAAAAGGUAGCAACUCAAGUGUCCAUCAGUGAAUAAUAAAGAAAUGUGGGAUAUACCUAUGGUGGAGUAUUACUUAGCCCUGAAAAGGAAAGGCAUUCUGCCACAUGCUAUAACAUGGAAACUUGUAACAUGGGAAAACUUUACGGACAUUAUGUUAAAUGAAAUAAACUAAACACAGAAGGGCAAAUACUAAUAUGAUUCACUUAUGAGUUAGAGUUGUCAAGUUCACAGACAGAGGAGGUCUAGUGAUAGAUACCAGAGGGAAGGAUGCGUGGGGAAUUAUCUAAUACAUAUAUAUAUGGAUAUUCAAUUUUUUCAAGAUGAAAAGAGUUCUGGAGAUGGGUGGUGACAGCUAUACAACAAUAUGAAUAUAGUUAAUAUUAAAAAACUGUACACUUAGGGGGCGGGGAUUUAGCUCAGUGGUUUCGCCGCCUGCUGCGCAAGUGCAAGGACC